rnacentral:rRNA from 1 species
CCUACGUGAGGCAGCAGUGAGGAAUAUUGGUCAAUGGCCGGAAGGCUGAACCAGCCAUGCCGCGUGAAGGUCAGUGCCCUAUGGGCGUUAAACUUCUUUUGUGCGGGAGCAAUAAUGGUCACGUGUGGCCAGACGAGAGUACCGGACGAAUCAGCAUCGGCUAACUCCGUGCAAGCAGCCGCGGUAAUACGGGGGAUGCAAGCGUUAUCCGGAUUUAUUGGGUUUUAAGGGUGCGUAGGCUGUGAGGUAAGGCAGCGGUGAAAUGCCCCCGCGCAACGGGGUGAAGUGCCAUUGUUACUGCCUUGCUGGAAGGCGGAUGCCGUUGGAGGAAUGUGUGGUGUAGCGGUGAAAUGCAUAGAUAUCACACAGAACAGCGAUUGCGAAGGCAUCUCACGAAUCCGCGAUUGACGCUGAUGCACGAAAGCGUGGGUAUCAAACAGGAUUAGAUACCCUAGUAGUC